GCUGGGCACGGUGGUGCCUACCUGUAGUCCCAGCGACCAGGGAGGCUGAGGCUGGAGGAUCACUUGAGUCCAGGAGUUCUGGGCUGCAGGGCGCUAUGCCAAUCGGGUGUCCACACUAAGUUUGGCAUCAAUAGGCGACCUCCUGGGAGCAGGGAACCACCAGGUUGCCUAAGGAGGGGUGAGCCGGCCCAGGUCAGAAAUGGGGCAGGUCAAAACUCCUGUGGUGAUCAGUAGUGGGAUCGUGCCUGAGAAUAGCCGCUGCACUCCAGCCUGGGCAACAUGCGAGACCCUGUA
rnacentral:SRP_RNA from 1 species